CCUAGAUAUAUAAAGUACCGCAAUUACCGCCAUAUUGGCGCCAAAACUAGCGGCAAAUUUAAAAAGGAGGCCAACAUUUCGCUGUUUCGGCUUUUUAAGCAGCUGGUCGGUCCGGCGCCAAUAUGGCCGACCAACAUUGACAGGCAAGCCGUAAAAUAAAAUAUUUAUUAAUUGUAAUAGAAUUACGUUUAUUAUCUACAGUUUACCUUCAUUUUAACGCCUAUAUAUGUUAAGAGGUUAUAAACGAAUGGUUUCCGUACAAGUGUUUUUCAUUUGUAUUAGCAUUUAUUUUAUGUUACCUUUUAGCGCAAAGUACGCCAACAGAAUACUUAAUUCAGUCGAAACAAUUGGAAAAACUUUGUUUGUUGAUGAGAACGGGAUACCUAUACCAUAAGUAAACUUUCCCUAUUAUACCAGUUAUGCUGUAGUUAGUUUUGACAAAUAAGCAUGAUUUAACGAAAGUCUUUGGAACUAUGAAUAAGCUACAAACUUAAAUUUGAAGGCCGGCUUUUAUACGAGAAAAUUUUGAACCAUGGUUGAAACAAAUAAAU